rnacentral:rRNA from 1 species
GACGAACGCUGGCGGCGUGCUUAACACAUGCAAGUCGAGCGGUAAGGCCCUUUCGGGGGUACACGAGCGGCGAACGGGUGAGUAACACGUGGGUGACCUGCCCUCAGCUCUGGGAUAAGCCUGGGAAACUGGGUCUAAUACUGGAUAUGACUCCACGGUGCAUGUCGUGGGGUGGAAAGCCUUGUGCGGCUGAGGAUGGGCCCGCGGCCUAUCAGCUUGUUGGUGGGGUGANGGCCUACCAAGGCGACGACGGGUAGCCGGCCUGAGAGGGCGACCGGCCACACUGGGACUGAGACACGGCCCAGACUCCUACGGGAGGCAGCAGUGGGGAAUCUUGCGCAAUGGGCGAAAGCCUGACGCAGCGACGCCGCGUGAGGGAUGACGGCCUCGGUUGUAACGUACUUACUAC